UACGUAGGGUGCAAGCGUUUGUCCGGAAUUAUUGGGCGUAAAGAGCUCGUAGGCGGUCUGUCGCGUCGGCUGUGAAAUCCCGAGGCUCAACCCCCGGGCCUGCAGUGGGUACGGGCAGACUAGAGUGCGGUAGGGGAGACUGGAAUUCCUGGUGUAGCGGUGAAAUGCGCAGAUAUCAGGAGGAACACCGGUGGCGAAGGCGGUUCUCUGGGCAUUACCUGACGCUGAGGAGCGAAAGUGUGGGGAGCGAACAGG
rnacentral:rRNA from 1 species